GAACUGGCCCUCUAUUUAAAAAGUUUGAGGACCCCUGGCCUAAAUCAUUCAUAACAACACCACUGUUUGCUCUUACUAUACACAAAUGUCGUGUCAGAAGGUACUGGGUUUGAUUUAGUUACAUUUCCAAGUUUAUUAUCAACAAAUGUUAUCUGCUGUAGGACUUUACAGAGAUGUCCAGAAAGAAAAUGUAUAAUGUUUGACCAUGUUCAACUGCCUUUCCAUGUUGUAAAGCUUGUCAGUCCUGGAACUGUUUGUUUCUCAAUCCAUAAGCAAAGAUUGUCCUGACUGUUUGCUUGUAAUGUAUUGUUCAGAUCCAGUUCAAUGCAGUUCAAGAAGAGAGUAUUCAGCUAUGUAUGGAUGUCAUUAAUUUUUCUUUAGGUUGCUGAUUUGCACCUGGGGCAGGUUCCAGCCAUGCUUUUGAAGGCCAAGGUGACCUCUGGAACAGAAAUGGCUUGACCAGCUACAGCUGGUGUGCCAGCUGCUGCAGUCUCCUCUGGACACAUGCUCUGUUAACAUCCUUGUCCAGAUACCUGCAGUGUAUUAUACAUAAGGCUGUUUCUGAAAAUGGUUUGAAAGCUUAAUUAAAUGCAAAAUAUAGCAGCCAAGGUUUUGACUGGAAUUGCUCACAAAAAUUGUAUUUCAUCUGCCUUGAGCUUAACUGGCUGCCUGUUCAUUUCUAACCACAGUUCCGCAUAGUGGUAUUUACCUUUAAAGCUCAAAAUGGCUUGAUAAUCAACAACUUGAAAGAGUAAUUCUCCUCAUACCAGGCUGCCCACAUGUUGUGGUGAAACAAGCCUCAACUCUAAGGUUGUUGGUCAAUGGUAUCAUUUUCUGGGUUCUGCUUUACCUCAGAGAAAAAUCUGCUUCCACUUUAGCUCAGGUUUUCUUAGAAAUAAUCCCCAACCUGUCCCCUCAAUAGAUAAAACUGACACUUGUAUCACUGCCUUUCGAGGGGGGGGGGGGGGGUCAGAAAAAAGCUUUCUUCUUCUUCUUCUUCUUCUUCUUCUUCUUCUUCUUCUUCAUGCGUUCAGUUGUUUCAAACUCUUCGUGACUUCAUGGACCAGUCCACGCCAGAGCUCCCUGUCGGCCGUCGCUGCCCCCAGUUACAUCAAGGUCAAGUCACUUCAAGGAUACCAUCCAUCCAUCCCGCCCCUUGGUCAGCCUCUCUUCCUUUUUCCUUCCAUUUUCCCCAGCAUCAUGACCUUUUGCAAGUUGUCCUGUCUUCUCGUGAUGUGGCCAAAAUACUUCAUCUUUGCCUCCAGUGAGCAGCCGGGCAUUUCCUGGAGGAUGGACUGGUUGGAUCUUCUUGCAGUCCAAGGCACUCUCAGGAUUUUCCUCCAGCACCAAAGUUCAAAAGCAUCUAUCUUCCUUUGCUCAGCCUUCCUUAUGGUCCAGCUCUCACAUCCAUACGUUACUACGGGGAAUGACAUCGCUUUGACUAUGCAGACCUUCGUUGCCAGUGUGAUGUCUCUGCUCUUCACUAUUUUAUCAAAGUUGGCCAUUGCUCUCCUCCCAAGAAGUAAACGUCUUCUGAUUUCCUGGCUGCAGUCUGCAUCUUUCAGUGCAUUUAUUGGCAUUUUCUUGGUUGAACGUUUUGUGAACAGCUUUGAAAUGAUUUAUAAAAAGCAAUUAUAUAUACAUUUUAAAUGAGCAAAGCAUAGAGACCAGUUCAAUCUGCUCUUCCCAUGCUUUGCUGCCCUGGAUUAGUCAAUUAGACCAUUUCCAGUGUGAUUUUAACUCCUUUUGUCAUGUUUGUUCUUCCUAUGCCUUGCUGCCCUGGAUUAGUCCAGUGCUAUUUUAACCUCUUAUACCAUGAUCUGUCCUUUCUUACGCAGAAGGAGACGUGAGGCAUUGUUCUUAAGGCAGACACCUUUUCUCUCCAUGGGCUCCCCUGCUUUCCCUCCCAAUGCCCUUACUCUUGAGGAGACCAGAGGCAUCUUUCUUAAAGUAGACCCCCCCCCCUUUUCUUGACUCCUCUCUUCUCCUCCCAAUUUAAUUACUCUCAGUUGUCGAAGUCCAACAAGCUUGAAAGCCAAGAUAACUAUGAAGGAGAAAUGAUAGAAAAAAACUGUGGUAAUAUCUUGAAAUGUUCAUAUUUCUAAUGAUUAAAUUUUUUUUUAAUUAGCAUGCCAGGCUCAUGAAGCAGGAUUUUGUAAGAGAAAUGUCAACACUUGGUAGGAGACAGUCCAUAAAAUGCCAAUUUCUCAACGUCACUGAACCGAAACAAAUCGGGGGAAUCUGACAAAUCCCAUCUUUUUCCCAUUUCUUCCCACAUCAGGUGCUCAGAAGAUGAUUUCUCCCCAUCUCCUUUACCCCCUGUUUCUCUACACUUCUGCUACAUUUCAGGGGUGAAAUACAAUGGAUGACAACCAGAAGUAGUGAAGGGCUCUGUGGCACUUCGCCCCUGAAAUGUCUUAGAAAUGUGUGGAAACAGUGGAGAACUUGUGUCUGAUGAGGUCCUCUGCGGCUGAGGAGGGAUUUGUGUUGGGGUUUGUAAAAGACACCAUGAUGUAAUGGGUUAACUGGAAGAAUAUGUGUAAGCAGCUGAUUGGCUGAGCCUGUGAAGAGCUAGCAGUCUGGAAAAAAUAUGUGUCAGCAGCUGAUUGGCUGAGCCUGUGAAGAGCUGGCAAAUCUGAUUGGCUAUUUUCUCUGCCAAGCUGCUGAGGGAACCAGUUUGUGCAGGUUUCACCUGAGUGAGUGAAAAAAACAGCCAGGAUAGAAGAUGGCUGCUGAAUCUCUAAAUCCCAGUUAUUUAUAAGAGAAGUAUAUCCCAAGUUAAAUUAUUAAUUCAGAACUGUGAGUAAAACAUUUCAAUGAUACCUUAUUACCUAUGUGACUUACUUCUAGAUUAAGAAAUACACCAAGUACAUACUGCAAAUGUAACAGCAUUUGUGAAAUAGGCUGUAUCGGUUAGGGAUACAUAGGUAGAGGUAAACUUUUUCCUCUGACAUUAAAUCUAGCCGUGUUCAACUCUGGGGGUUGGUGCUCAUCUCAAUUUCUAAGCCAAAGAUCCAGCGUUGUCCAUAGAUACCUCCAAUGUCAUAUGGCCGGCAUGACUGCAUGGAGUGGCAUUACCUUCCCGCUGGAACCGGUACCUAUUGAUCUGCUCACAUUUGCAUGUUUUCGAACUGCUAGGUUGACAGAAGUUGGAGCUAACAGCGGGAGCUCACUUCGCUCCCUGGAUUCAAACCGCUGACUGUUCAGUCAGCAAGUUCAGCAGCUCAACGGUUUAAUCUGCCGCACCAGCGGGGGCUCCCAUAAGCAUAUGAGAUACAUAAGCACCCCAAUAUUUGUCCCAAAACAUUUUUUGCAAGAUGUCAGGUGGGGGAGUUGGUUUGUUCUGGGUUUUCUGUUUGCUAGUUAGUUUGAUUUUGCUUUUUGUGAGAUUUUCAGUUGAAUAUUUACAAAAGGUGCCAGGGCCUUCAUUAAAUCCUGUCCUCUGCCUCCAAUUUUGAUCCCUCCUUUGGUAUCUGCUAAGGUUUGGUUCCAGAAACUGCCAUGGAUACCAAGAUUCAUCAAAUCCCAUUAUAUACAAUGGCAGAGUAAAAUGUCAUCCCUCCUAUAAAAUAGCAAAUAUUCCUCUGUAGGCUUUUAAAAAACAUGUUUGAGCCAUGGAUAAUCCUUGCAUAUAGAAUCCGUGUAUAAGGAGAGCUGAACUUUCAGUCAAACUGGCUAUGUUUGUUUUGAGUUGGUUUUUUUUCACUUUGAUAUAAAGCCACAUACCUGAUUCAGUGCAUAAUAGAAAUGCUUCCCUGCUGAUCUGUGUGUGCUAAGCCAAUGAACUCCUACCACUGAUAUCAGCAGGGCAUAUCUGAAACAGAGUGAAACCUACAUGAACCAAAGGGUUUAUGCAUGUUGAGAGCAGUUCAUCAUGCUGUUGGAAGUUGUCGUGUUUAUAAUUUUUUGCUUAGUUAGUUACUAUGGAUAUCUUUUGAAGGUUUUUCUUUUCUUUUCUUUUGCUCUUUUAAAAAAAUCCUUGGUCUUAUUUCGUUUUAUGUGCAUCUUCUUCAUUCUGAAAAUACUAAAAUUGAAAUGAGAUGGUAUAACAACCCCUAAAGUGUGAUAAGAUUAUAACCAGUCAGGAUUUUUUCAGGCUUCAGUCAUAAAUGCAGACAAAAUAUGCUUGCGAUGCUGACUUCACAAUGGAAGUUGAUUAUAGCUCUCAAAAGGCUGAAGUAACGGGCUGCUUAGAAAAAGAAGGUGGUAGCAUUUGAUCCCCAAGUGAUGGUCAUGCUGGCAGUUUAUGAGGAGCCUUGGAGAGAUAUAAUCAUUUUCCUCAGUUGGAGGCCAGUUAUGAAGAGACAGUCUGAGUCACUCAAAAGGGUGCACACUACACUGGUUGAAGCAGUUUCGCUGGUUUUACAUGAACCAGUAAGUGUACUUGAGACACAUUAUAGGGCCCUGUGGAUUACAUUUGCUGUUGUUACAUAUUUUGAAUGCCAGCAACCUGUUAAAUAAUCCAUAACAAUAAAAGCAGAUGUGUUUCUGUUCCUGAAUGUUAUAUAGCCAUUUUUAUGCAGAAGGUGGUGUGGGGAGGGGGACAAUCCCUAUGGUUUGCCAAAAACUACAGUAUGAGUAAUUCUUUAGACAAAUGCAGAAUAAGCAAGAAACACUUUUCCCUUGCAGUGCUUUUACGAAUGUGGGACUUUUUAGAAGUUUGAUCACAAGGCCAGAAACUAUGGGUUAAAUCUGGGGUGAAACCCUCCAGAUGUUGUGGAUUGCAUGUCCCGGCAACUCUAGACAGCAAAGCAGUGGUGGGAAAAGCUAGAGUAGUGGUUCUCAAACUGUGGGUCUCCAGGUGUUUUAGCCUACAACUCCCAGAAAUCCCAGCCAGUUUACCAGCUGUUAGGAUUUCUGGGAGUUGAAGGCUAAAACAUCUGGGGACCCACAGGUUAAGAACCUCUGUGCUAGAGGUUCCACUAUAACAACAUCUAAAGGGUCUCAUGAUUCCCACUCCAGGCUAACUACAGUAUGAACCCUACUUAAGAUGGGCCCAAUUAAAUGAAUGAGAUUAAGUACUUAUAAGUUUGGAAAUAACCCUACUGAAUUCAGUGAGAUGUACAUCUGAUUGACCAUGGCUUGCUCUCCAUAAUGCUUGACUAUCAUCUCAAAGUAGGAUAAUGGCUUUCACUUGAAACCCAGUUUUAUAGUCGGAUGAUUCAUGCUACAGGUUCAUUUUGCAACUUCUCACUAUCUCAUAGAUAAAUGCAAUUCCACCUAGACCUGAAAGAAGAGCAUAUUUUUAUGGCCAUCUGUUCUUGGAGAUAACAGGAAAAACAAAGAAAACAAAAGCUUAAGAAAUAAACCCCCCCAGAAAGCCCAUUAAUUUGGAUACAAAUUUUAGCUGGGAAUACUCACUUUGACUUUGUUCUCGACAUGUUUGUUGUAGGUUACAGGUUUUGCACAAUCUUGACUUCAACUAAUUUUCUGCCAGAAAAAUGUGGUUUUAAUGUCCCCUUCCUCAAAAAAGGUUAGCAGAGCAAAAGUGCCCCCUAGUGAUACAUGUUUCCAUGUGCACAUUGAAGCCUAUGUUAGUUACCCUUGCAUAUUUUACCAUGGUGUAAAGAUAGGUGUAAGAGGACAUCACUACUUCUUCUAGUCUGAAUACUGUUUUGCAUGUCCUGAAGAACUAAAUUUUAUUUAGGGGUUUUCUCCUUGGCAUAAAUGUGUGACUGACUGAACAAAGCAGAUGUUUAAUUUACUUCUUGUUAGAAUAAAUUGAAACAUAAAUGUGCUUGCUCUUACCUGCAUUGACUGAUAUUUUUGGCAUUUAUUACAAAUCUCUGAACCUUAGGUUUUCAGAAAGGUGCCUAUGUUCAAUUCUGCCAUAUCUUCCCCUUCUCGGUCCUAAAUUCAAUAAUUUGAUUGCUUUUAAAAAUGUAUCUGAACAAAAAUUCAGUUAUUAAAAGAACAUAAACUGAAUCACAAACAAAGAAGGUUAAGCCACAAAACUCAGAAUUCUAAAAAAGCCACAAAAAUAUUAAUAAAAAUGGUACCUGUUCAUCUGAAAGUUGGUAUCUGAGAUCUAUUUGAUACACUUCACAAAAGUGUCAAAUUCCACAAAGGAUCCAAUAAGUACUUCUGUAGGUAUAACAAACCUCAAAAAUGCAUAAAAAUAACAUAUAUACCUCUUGUUCCCCACAUUUUUGAAAAGGUAUAUUAUAUAUUUGUUGGUGAAAAAGUAGAGAGCCAUGCAUAAUCUCACAGGAAGAUUUCUUUAGACCAGUGGUUCCCAACCUUUUUUUGACCAGGGCCCAAUUGAACAGGGACCACUUUCCAAAAUUAGUACCAAAAAAGUUACAAAUCAGUUUUUGGUCAUCUUUAGAUUUGGUUUGGUAAUUUGGGUGCUGAUUCAGAAAAUUUCAUUGGAUAGACCACAUCAGCUCUAGUUUCUGAUAAAGAACAUAUGUCAUCCAGUAGUCGCCAUCUGUUCGCCCACAGGAAAACACAUUUAAUAAUCGAAAGCUCAUGUGGUCUAUCCAAUGCAAUGGUCGGCUCUGCAAAAAGGAGCGGAAAUAAAAUUAAUAAAAUAAAAUAAAUAAAUAAAGAGGAAAGAGGUUCGCGGACCAGAUUUUUGUUCUUGCGGCCCACUUGCUGGGCCAUGACCCACAGGUUGAGAACCACUGCUUUAGACAUACAUUAAGAUUAAGAUGCUUUAUCAAACAAUAUAGGAUGAGGGCAAGGUAGGACGUAUAUGCUAGUUGAAUAUAUGCCAUCCUUACUAUAUAGAUCUUGAAAGUUCAUGUACAAUCAGUGAUCUUGCUAAUCAUCGUUAAUUAUGAGGUAUAUCUGUUAAAGCAUCAGAUUUAGCUUCCAGGAUCUCGCCCUGAGCUCUGUGACUGUCUACAGCAGCAAUGGUAUCAUCAUCAUCAUCAUCAUCUUGGCACUUUGAAGAGCCAUCCAAUAUUUGAUAGGCUUAAGCAACAGGAUCUUAAACUAAAAUAAGAAGGUUUGUAAAUCACUGAAUGUGGUCAAUAUACCACCCAAAGGGUUUGUCUAACCAGCCAAAAAACCUGAAGUGGCCCAGAUGUCACUACUGGAUGUCUAUACAACAGCUAGGGACCUCUGGUAAACCGGCAGUAUGACUGACUCUGAUGCAAACUAGUCCUCUGUCCACACGUCAACGCCACCGUCCUUUUCAAAAAGCACUCAAUAGCACAGGGGAAAGAAGAUGGAUUGGGGCCAUGUUUUAUCCACAUUGAGCUGUGAGGCAGGUAAUAAAUAAAUGAUGAUGAUGAUACCAUUGCUGCUUUAGACAGUCACAGAGCUUAGGGCACGCUCCUGGCCAUCACAAGUGCCCUGUACUGACAUCAACAAAGGUGCUCACUCAACCAGAGAAGAGAUGACCUCCUCCUUGUCUCUAGUUGUGCAGAGACCUCUGCUGAUGUCAGCACAGGGUGCCCAUGAUGCCAAGAGCUCUGUCUGAGUUUUGCAGCUCUCCAGCAGUGGCGACAACAACAAGGAAAGUAAGGUGACAGUUCAGCUGAGCUGAAUUGAUUUUGGCCCUAUGGACCAUGUGGACUCCAUCCAAUUGCAGGUUGGUGUUUAUAUGCACAUAGUAUCUAUCUAAACACCAUUAAGGGCCUCCAGACCAACUCCCAAAUAACUGGUCAGUGGAGAUAAGCCCUAAGAAACCACCACCACCAGGGAGUUUCUCUGAGAGAGUUCAUGAAGCAAGUGAAAUUGGUUCCUCUCAUUUUGACAUUGCCCUACCAUUUUCUGUUCCUUUGGGAUUUUGCUUUGCCUAAGAAAUAACUGUAAUGGCCCUACUUUAAGGUUAAUAAUCUUUAAUGAUUGCUUAUCCCUGCAUAAUAUUACAUUGCAGUCAUGGCUUGUUGGCUAUAAAAUUUCCUCUCAGGAUUUUAUAAUGAGGCAUUCAUGAUAAGGUGGUGCUACUUGAUGUGUAGAAUAUAUAAGAGUUGCAGUGGAAAAUGUAUUCUUUAUUAUGGGGUUUUGGAUUUGGGCUGGUGGAUUUGCUUUCUGAAGCCUUUGAGAGAAAAUGUAAUAACGCCGUCCCAAAAAAGUGUAAAACAAAUUAAUCUGAUCACAGUUCUUACAGUGUUAUCAUACUGGUACAGAAUGAAUUUUUGUGUUGUCCUUUGACAGACAGUUGGAUCAAACUAACAACUGCCUUGUUAUAGGCUUUUGCUAUAAUAAAUCAGGGGUUUGCAAUUUAUGAGGGAGAGUCAUAACUGUAAGAACGUCUCUGUAUCAGAUAAUUUACUUUAACUAUUAAUUUCUUCUAAUUAGAAUUGUGCUUUGUUUGGUUUUGUCAAGAACAAAUCCUGCCAAGCCUUUUUGAAAUCAGGUCACUAGUAGGUGGGGAGGUGGGUGUCAUUUAUCUUGAUGUUAGAAUAUCAUUUCAUACGGUCACCCAUUACUUUUUGCUUAGCAAACUGACUAAAUAUGGAAUAGGUGGAAACACCAUCAAAUGGAUCCAUUAUCGGUUGCAAAACCAUGCUCAGUGGUUGUGCUUCAAAGCGGAAGGAAUCUCAAGUGAAAUGCUGCAGGCUUCUGUCCAGAAACCUACAUUCUUCAAUAUUUGUAUUGGUAAUUUCGAUGAUGGGGUGAAAGGAAUCCUUCUUAGAUUUGAAGAUUAUACAAAACUGGAUGGGAAUCAAAUUCCAAUGUAUUUCAAUAAACUAGAAAACUGGGCUAAAACUAAUAAAAUAAAAUUCAAGAGAUAAAUACAGAAUUCUACACUUAGGCCAUAAAAACCAAACACUCAGGUAUAGGAUAGACUAUGCAUUACAUCUUUUCAGGCACAGUACAAGAUUGAAAAAGGAAAGCAAUGGAAAUAAUCUGCAAUGUGGAGGCAGGGAAAGACUGAACCAGACUGUCAAAUAUACAAGAUUAAUACUUCAUUUACUUUUGUGUAAAAGACUCCUCAGCUAAUAAGUGGACUACUAUAUAUGGCUUGUUUUAUACAGAGUAAUACCUUUCCCAACCCUUAGACCUGAUGUGUUUGUGCAGGACUGUGUCCCUCUUCUUAUGAGCUGGUCAUUGACCGUAAUAAAGUGAACUACUACUACAGAGUAAUAGACCUGGAAUCAGUAUCAGCUUGUCAUGGAUCCAGGUCAGCGAAAUGGUAAACCCACCUUGGAUUUUAGUCCAGACUAUACAAGAACUAUCCAUGCUACUACACGUUAUUCAACCCUCGGAUAAUUGAAGCUCAGGCUGUCUUGGAGCAGCUUCACCAUCCAUGGAGCCAUCAACCACCACUGAUUGCAUCCAGAUUGAGGCAUGGGUCACAUUGUUUCCAAUUUAAGUAAGGUUAAGUUGAGAUCCAACCCAGAAAAAAUUGGGGGCUCCAUAAAGUAUACUGAGGGACUCUGCGGUUCUAUCCCCUUCCUCCCCUCCCAAGCUUUCCUUCCUCUUUCCUGCUCCUCCCCCUCCCCCUCCUUCCUCGUCCCCAAAAGCCUUUUUUCCUCACCUUGCUGAAAUCCUUUCCCCUUCAGCUUCCUUGCUUCCAAAACCCAUUUACCUCCAACUGCUCUGGGGUGCUUUGAUUGUGCUUUUUCUGCAUGGCAGAAGGGGGUUGGAUUGCCCCUGGAGUUGUUGUUGUUGUUGUUGUUGUUGUUACUUCAAAGGCUGGGUGGCCAUCUGUUGGGGGUGCUUUGAUUGUGCUUUUCCUGCAUGGCAGAAGGGGGUUGCACUGGAUGGCCCCUGGGGUCUUCUACUGAAAUACUGUUAAGUUUAUGCUGUUCAAAAUGUUUGCCCAUGCCUGAUAUAUCUCAUAAUAUAGAAAUAUUUCUUGGGAAACGUUUGCUUCAAGAAAGCCUCAGUAGCUGAAAAACUUUGAGAACCCCUGAUCUAACCUCAUUUGCUCUUAAUUUUGAUUCUGCAGGGCAAACUAAUCUAAAAUAUAGCAUGGAACUGCAGAAUCCCUAUGAUGUGGCUGUUACAGAAAUAUCUCCAGGCGAAGGAAAAAGAACCAGCUCCAGAGCAGUUGGCCUCACUGUUGAGUGGCUCAUAAUAUUAGGACAUUUCUCCUAAUUUCCUGCAGUUUUCCACAUUUUUUUCUAGUCCUGUUCUUUGAAGCACGGAAAAACAAGAACUGUAUUCCCUAUUCUACAUUGCAGCCUUUCAGAAAGUUGAGGAUAGCUUUCAUGUCUCUCUUUAAUCUUCUUUUAUUUCCAGGCAAAACGUAUCUAGGUCCUUCCAAUUUUUCCUAUUAGAUUAUGCCAAUCAUGUACCCUUUUGAUCCAGUACCAGAUGAUUUUACCAUAAUUUUGGUCUAUAUGUGUUGGGUGGGGAGGAGAGAGACUGCUAGUACACGCCUCAGAAUUUCACAAAGCAGUAGCAGAAAGAAAGGAUGAGGAAUCAAUGGCAUUAAAUAAGUUCAAACUUUGUUACAGAAAAUAGAAAUCUGUUUGCUUCCAUUUUCAGCUCAGUAUGUGUCACAGAAUGAAGAAAACAAAAUGUCGUACCCAUUAUAUCAGCCAUGGACAGUGUAAAAGAAAGCUGGCUCCUUUGUAAACUGCUGGAGUCUCAAUUAUUGGAUUAAGCAGAGCUUGCUUCAGUUGUCCCUUUUCUCUGCUGUCAUGCUUCUCUGGGCUGGUGGCUCGAAUAUACUUAAAGGUGAGUCAAGUGUGACUCUAAAUAAACAGGCAUUGCUUUGCAAAGCGAGUUUCUGAUUGCUAGCAAGCACAUCUGCCUGUCUUGGAACAUAUUUUCCAAGCCUUCAGGUUACGUUUUGUAAAUGUUACCACUCUUUGGCAUCCCAAAGUAACUUAGCUGAAUUGCACAGAACUGAAUAAUUGUAAGAGAGGAUUUCCAUUGUGAUGGAACAUGGAUGGCUUUAAAUGACUGUAAAAUUGUGUGGAUAACUACAAAUUGCUAUGUUACCCACACCAUGAGAUCAAAUAGUAAACUGUAGCAUUACACCUUAUGGCAAAUCCUGUGAACUGAAUUUAAACAAAACAGCUGAAAGUGGACCCCACUGAAAUCAAGGCCAAUUGCUGCUAUUGAAAAUCAUAUGACUAACAUUGCAAUUUAUGUGUCUUCAAAAGUAAACCCAGUGGAUCGGGUCCCAGCUUAGCACUAUUAGUAAUCUUAACUAGAACAGUUCCCUUGAAUCAGCAAGAUUUAGAGAAUUGUUGAUUCAAUGAGCCUUUUCUAACCUUGAGCCAUAACCAAUAUUGGAAUUCAUUGCCCUUCUCAAAGUAUGACUACGUUUGAAAGUAAAACAUUUCAUUGUAUUUCUGGGUUAGUGUAGAAUUGCAACCUUAGUUUGGAUUGAGCCUAUUGUUCCCAGUUUUGUGCCAUCUAUGAGAACUAUGACAAAACAAGAAUUAUUUGCAGUGAACAUAGCUAUGGAAAUAAAAGGUAAAUAUGAUCACUUUUCAUGAAUAUACAUGUAGACAGUGGGACAUGUUAUUUUGCUUGUAACUUCAGCAUCUAGGUUAGCUAAAACAUGUGAAGCACAAGAGACUGAUUUAAUUUAUCUCAAUAUACACAUUAUGUGUGCACGCACGCACACACAUGUAAUGGGACCUCUUUAAGAGAAUCACACAUAGGACUGAAGUGUAAAUCUAAUUAUUUUCUUAAGUUGAAAUCCUGUACCUAAAAGCCAGAAGGUAAGCUCCUUCAAGCUCAAUAUUCUUACUUCUUAGCGCAUUUCCGCAAAUACCUAAAAUUGGCACUAAAACAGGUUAAAGUAACCCGCUUCAGCGCAGGUUUUAGUCCCCACCCCUUCCCGCAGCCUCAAGAUUUCCCUUCAGGGGUGGUUAAAUACUAUCCCGAUUUACCCUCUAAAACUUACUGAAAAGGUCCCUGGCUAUCAUGGAGUUUCUCCUCAAGAUUUCCCUUCCGGAGUAGCUUCAUACUAUCCCAAUUGAAAUCGGGAUAGCAUGAAGCCACCCCGAAGCCCCCGAUUUACCCCCUAAAACUUACUGAAAAGGUCCCUGGCCACCAUGGAGCUUCUCCUCAUGUCCUAGUAGUGCAAGAAAGUGAUGUCUGAGGAGAUGGGACGGGGGGGGGGGAAUCCCUCCAGGAGCCCAAAGAUGCAGAAUGACUGUAGAGACUGACCCCUGGGAAACACAUGACGUGUCCCGCUAGUCAUUCCUCACAGGCCCUUCACCUCAUUAGACCUGGAUCUUUCAUAAAGAUCUGGAUCUAAUGAGGUGUUUAAUUAAUGCAGAAUAAACCAAGGAAACUUCACUUUUACCAAAGGCAUAGUUUGGAUGCUUGUGGUAAAACCGAGAUAGGUCCCAUUUUUUGGGCCUGUCUGGAUGAGCCCUUAGUAGAUACUCAGGGUUGCACUUCAAGGCUGCAAUCAUAUAUCUAACACAAUAUCUACAUUUAGACAAGUUUUUGAGUAAAAGAUUUUAGGGCUACAUUGUAAAUAUACUCAAGGAAAUCAAUAGUACUUCUCAAAUUUAAAAUGUUCUCUUGUUUAUUGAGUAUCAUACUAUCUUUGUAAGUAAAUAAACAUUUUGUAAAUACA